rnacentral:rRNA from 1 species
ACUCCUACGGGAGGCAGCAGUGGGGAAUAUUGCACAAUGGGCGCAAGCCUGAUGCAGCCAUGCCGCGUGUGAUGAAGAAGGCCUUCGGGUUGUAAAGUACUUUCAGCAGUGAGGAAUGGUGGGUAUGUUAAUAGACAUAUUCCAUUUGACGUUAGCUGCAGAAGAAGCACCGGCUAACUCCGUGCCAGCCAGCCGCGGUAAUACGGAGGGUGCGAGCGUUAAUCGGAAUUACUGGGCGUAAAGCGCAUGCAGGUGGUUUGUUAAGUCAGAUGUGAAAGCCCGGGGCUCAACCUCGG